rnacentral:rRNA from 1 species
UACAGAGGUCUCAAGCGUUGUUCGGAUUCAUUGGGCGUAAAGGGUGUGUAGGUGGCGCGCUAAGUCGGGUGUGAAAUUUCGGAGCUUAACUCCGAAACUGCAUUCGAUACUGGCGUGCUUGAGGACUGGAGAGGAGACUGGAAUUCAUGGUGUAGCAGUGAAAUGCGUAGAUAUCAGGAGGAACACCGGUGGCGAAGGCGGAUCUCUGGGCCAUUACUGACGCUGAGGAGCGAAAGCGUGGGGAGCGAACAGG